UACGUAGGGUGCAAGCGUUAAUCGGAAUUACUGGGCGUAAAGCGUGCGCAGGCGGUUCGCUAAGACAGAUGUGAAAUCCCCGGGCUUAACCUGGGAACUGCAUUUGUGACUGGCGGGCUAGAGUAUGGCAGAGGGGGGUAGAAUUCCACGUGUAGCAGUGAAAUGCGUAGAGAUGUGGAGGAAUACCGAUGGCGAAGGCAGCCCCCUGGGCCAAUACUGACGCUGAGGAGCGAAAGCGUGGGGAGCGAACAGG
rnacentral:rRNA from 1 species